rnacentral:rRNA from 1 species
UACGGGGGGGGCAAGCGUUGUUCGGAAUUACUGGGCGUAAAGGGCUCGUAGGCGGCCAACUAAGUCAGACGUGAAAUCCCUCGGCUUAACCGGGGAACUGCGUCUGAUACUGGAUGGCUUGAGUUUGGGAGAGGGAUGCGGAAUUCCAGGUGUAGCGGUGAAAUGCGUAGAUAUCUGGAGGAACACCGGUGGCGAAGGCGACGUCCUGGACCGGCAUUGACGCUGAGGCGCGAAAGCCAGGGGAGCAAACGGG